rnacentral:rRNA from 1 species
GGCGGACGGGUGAGUAAUGUCUGGGAAACUGCCUGAUGGAGGGGGGUAACUACUGGAAACGGUAGCUAAUACCGCAUAACGUCGCAAGACCAAAGAGGGGGACCUUCGGGCCUCUUGCCAUCGGAUGUGCCCAGAUGGGAUUAGCUAGUAGGUGGGGUAAUGGCUCACCUAGGCGACGAUCCCUAGCUGGUCUGAGAGGAUGACCAGCCACACUGGAACUGAGGCACGGUCCAG